GGCGAUUUCCUGCCCUGUGGCGGGGUUCUUGAUUUGACCCAGGGCACAGACCGUUUCCUGGCUUGGAGAGAGUAAUGUUAUCGCCGCUCCGUGUGCUUGGGUUCCCGACUUUCUAGAGUGCUCCCGUCUCGGGCCGUCUCAACCCUUUAAAAGAACCCUCCUGUUGGCGACAUAUCUGCAGGUUUUGUGGACAUGUCUUCGGCGUCCUCAAAGCACUUUAAAUUUCUUAAAGGCCGGAAGACGAAAGUAUAAGCUCCAGAAGACAAAGCCCUGUGUUGGAUUUUGCCCAUUUAGAACUGUGUGCCCUACUUAGAACUGUGCGCCCUACUUAGAACUGUGCGGAACACCAGGCAGGAGACACAGAUAUCCCACACAGCCUACCUUGAAGACAAUGUACGAAUAGAUCCUCAUCGACUUUUCCAACAAGGUCCAAGAAAAUUUCUCUUACACAAACACUCGCAAGGCAGAAGUAGAGCAGAGUCCCUUGAGACAUAAUUCUUAAGAUCACUCCAAGGUAAGAUUCCAGUGAAGUCAGGUACCCAUGACUGCAACUCUGGAGCAAGAUGCUUAACCUGUAAGUCUGUGCUUUAGGGACAAAUUGUCUCAUCCCACACCAGACUCUCUCUUCAGAAUAUGUAUACUUGUUUUCAGCAUUUGGCUGCAUGAUUUGGCACAUUUGUUCUCCACCUUGGUGAAUGGUUAGAAUUACCAAGGUUUCUUUAAAUAUGCCAAUAACCCAGGCCCCAAAUGAGUGGUCUCUCUGAUGGCAUGGCUCAGGCAUCUAUGUUUUUGAGGACGUUAUUUGAUUCAAACACACAGAGCGAGAGCCUCUCACUCAGAGGAAGGAACAGCACCCUGGAGUCAAACACCCUUGGCUCCACCAUUCUGCUGACUGUGUGACCUUGACCUCAAUCUGUAAUGUGUAACAUCAGAUGGGAGAACUGACAGCUCUCAGAGUCUUUGUGAGGGUACAGGCUCACUUAUGCGAAUUACCCAGCCCAGUAGAAGCCCAGUAGAUGUUGACUGUUAUCGUACGUGUACUGACUUUUACUGAGUACACUUUUCCUAAGUAUGAUUGUAGGGUGGGGGUAGGCAUGGAGUUGUCCACGACUAAAGUAGAAACUCUCUGAGGUUGGAGACUGUGGUUUACUUUGCAUCUAAAUCCCCUGCAGAUCCUGACAUAGCACUGAGCAUAUAGUAAAGAGGUAUAUAACAACUUUAUUGACUAUUUUGGUUAAUUUAUGGACAGAAAGGAAGCUCACAAUCAUCUUCAGCUCUGUCAAAUAUAUUUUAAAACAUCCGAAUUGCAUUCUAGUAGACUCACCACAGCUUUUGAUAAAAAUCCAAAGAGCAUUUGAUCAUCUGAGUCUAAGCCACAGAAAACCUUUUCUGUAAUCAAACUGUGAGCCCAUCAGCUGAGAUAUUACAUUUGGAGGACAGUCAUGUUUGCCCCAAGGCUUUUCAUUUGAUACAGGGCCAUAGGAAGGAAGCUGCAUCGAUCGUAAAGGCGAGACCUGGCUUUCAUUUCUGAAAGAACUAAUGUGGGUGUCAUGUUUUAGAAAUGAGGGCAAUUGGAAGGCAGUCAGUAUAGCCUGGGUACUUGGGUGCACAAAGCUGAUACUUGAAUGGGCUCAUGUAGUAGGAAUGAGUGGACAGAGACUCUGGGAACAAUGUGGGGAAAUGGAGAGUAUGCAUUACUGUGUCAGGACAGCAAGGAGCUCUCUACAUCCUUUCUGGCUUAAGCCCAGAGUGGUCUUAUAAGUAGAGCAGGGGGACCUGUGGGGCCAGCUGCAGCAAGCAAGUAGGGAUGAAGACACAGCAAGGGAGGUCAGGCACAGGGGUGCAUCUUCUCUGAGCUGGACAUGCUGCAGCACCACAUGUGCAUCCCUGCCACUCUCUCCACUGUCUUGGGAAGCAGGCAUCAGUUAGAGCAGACUGGCAGCCUGCAGACAUGUCUUGUGUGGCCAGUGUAUUUAGUCCACACAGUGUUUUAAAACAUAGUGCAACUAACAGUGUUAUUCUAGAUCAUAACAGAAUUCAGCAGCUUCAUCACCUUCUAUGCCAUCUGCCAUCCCUGUAUAACUUUCUAAUUUUUAUUGCCUCACCUGUGGCAUAUGGAAGUUCCCGGGCCAGGGAUUGAAUCCAAACCACAGCGCAACCUACACCACAGCUGUGGCAAUUCCCAAUCCUUUAACCCACUGUGCCAGGCCGAGGAUCAAACCACAUCUCCACAAUGACUAGAGCCUCUGCAGUCAGAUGCUUAACCCACUGCAUCACAGCAGGAACUCCCCAAGUAUGAUUUUGAGUUUGCAAAGUCAAGGUUACGCCUGUUGAUAGCCACAGAGAACAGCUGUUGUUUCAGUCAAAUGUAAUAAAAUGCUCUUCAUUUUAUUGCAUGUUUCAAGUUUUAGUCUGGUGUUCUUUAAAUUCCCACUCUCUCACCAAAGGUAAUGGUAAUUCAGACCAGUGAGUGAGAGAAGAGAGAUAUGGUUCUUAUCCUGAGUCAUUAGUUACAGGGUGCCCAGGGAGCUUUGGAGUAUGUGCCAUAGGUGUGCCUGGGAUUUGGAUUUCUGAGGUGUUGUAAGAAGUCAGCAGCAAACUGGAAGUCAAGGAAAACUAAGGCUCCAACGUCAUGGCUUGCAAUAAAUCAAGUCAGAACUCAAGUCAUCUGAGCACCAGGAUGUGGACCAGAAUGGGAAGCAAGGUCUGCCUCUAUCAGAAGGCUCUAAAGUACCAUUCUCUCUGGCAGGGUUGACCAUGGGCAUGAGACAGUGUAUGUGGGAGUUUUAAUAUGUAUUUUACCUGAAAAAGAAGGGCUGUCACCAGCUCAAAUUUCAAAUAUAUUUCUAGUUUUAAAAAGUUGCCACCCUUUCCAUUUUCUCUCAGAUCUCAGAAAAAAAUCACCUUUGUUGGAGUAAUUAGUCAAAUAACUAGGUCUGAUGGGAAAAAUACAGAGGGUCAUUUAAAAAGAGAUGACUCUCUGGGCUGAUGUCUUUCUGCUUAUUGGAUUUCUAUUAAUACUGUAUUAGCCCAUAACUAUUUUCAUAAUGGGUUUUUUAAAUUUUGAUUUUUACUCAUAACUUUUAUAGAAUGAAAUCCAUGAUGUUAACACCACAGUUUUGUCCUUUUUGCAUUCUUUUUCCAUUUUUUCCAAGUGUACCACAUAUUACACUAGGUUUGUAAUACAAUACAGUUGCGAUUUUUUUGUCAUAUAAUCUGUCAAAAUUUUUCUCAGAAAAAUACUGUUUUUAUAUUCAUGAAGACGAUAUUUUUUAUUUUUGGCAAGGUUAUCUUUCUCCAACAUUAGAAUGAUACUAGCAUAAUAUGCAUGUACGGUUGCAUAGUGUUCAUUUACACCAACAUUUACAUUGACAUUCAGUUGCAUUUACCAAAGAUAAAUGGCCUAAAGCAGAUUAAAUACAUUAAUGCACGUAUCAGUUGUUUCCAAUUGCUUUUUUUUUUAAGGCUUCAUACUUCUUUAUAACUGUAAUCAUCCCUUGAUAUCUUCAGAGGAUCCCCACAGAUACCAAAAUAGUGGAUAUUAUGGCAUAGCACAGUUGGUUGUCCAUUUCACUCAUGAGGAACCAGUAAAUACAGGGGCAGCUGUCUCUUUUAUUAGCAUAAAGCCAAUGAAUUGGAUUACUAAGUCAGUGAUUCUGACAAUAAAACAAGACUUGUUAAGUUUACAAAGAAUUUCCCUAUAGGUUUCAGCUUUUAAUACUAAACGUUUCCAAUAAAGUGUGCAAAGUGCAAAUUAUUUCACCCAUUUUAUAGGCAGAAAAACUGAGCUAAAGCGAGGUUAGGUGACUUGCCCAAGCCAGAUGAACCAUAGUGGCAGAGUAAGUCCUAAAAUAAAAGUCUUCUAGUUCUUGGCUUUUCCUUCUGAACAGGAGACAUUAAGGAGACUCUUUGUUUGGCUUUGUUUUAUUUUUAGUUGUCAUUGUUAUUUCCCAAAUUUAUAAUUUUUCUUCUUUUGCUGUAAUUUGGAGGAAGGGUCUUAAGGGAGAAGAAAAUUUUGUUUAGUGAAUUUCAAUACAAGGAUGAAAUUUAGAAUAAUAACUAUAAUAACUGAGCCCUUCGGUAUUCCAGCACUCUGCUAAGUGAUGGACAUCAGUGGUGUGUGCUGGGGCCAACAAGCGGAUUGUAUGGACAUCAUCCCACCUUGAAAUGGCCCAGGUGGGAGUACUUACACCAUGGUAGUCAGCAAAUGCUGCCCUCCCCACCUCAGUCAGAAGAGCUGAUUAUUAAACACUUGCUGGCACACCCCAUAAAAUGAAUUAUUUCAUUUAAUGGGUUCAAACAAGCAUAUUUUACAGUAGUAAUCCUCAUUCACUGGUGAAAAGACUGAGGCCAGAGAGGGUAAAUGAUUUCCAGGUAUUAAACAGCUAUGAGGUAGCAGACUUGUAAUCGACACCAGGCAGUCUGAUUCCAAAAAUUAAUGUUUAACCACCAUAUAUCACUGUUUCCUAUUCUUCAGACAAAUGAAGACAGUUAGAAAUAUUCUGAGAUGGUGGAUUUUGUUUUUUGCUUUAUUUUGCCAAACUCAAGUGGAUAAGGCUCAACUUUGAAAAGUCUUACUGUCCUCCCCAGUCCCACUGUAUCCCUUUCAGGCAAGUUGAUGGUAAAAACAGAGAGUCCCCAUUUGUCAUGAAUGAGUCAUGUGUUCCAAGGGCAUGAGUAUCUUGCCCAGGGUGAGUAAAGGAGUCCACAGCCCUUCAGGGCCACUCAGUCCGUUAAGCUCCACAGAUUCCCUUGAUGAGUGAGCUGAAAGCCUCAGGCUUGGGACUCAGGUAAACAAUGGAGAAGGUUGCUCAGCCUGUGAAAAGCCACAUGCCUUGACAGCUGUAACUGGGAUUAAACAACCCUAAUUUCCUUUAUGUAAGUAAUAUCCCAUUUCCUUUAAAAAUAGUGGAGUUACUUGUUAACAUUGUUGUUCUUCAUGCAUGCCAUCUAUGCCAGAGCUAGUUAUUCAAAGGAUUUUCUUUGCAUAAUUAUUCUAUUUUGCUCUUAUUCUAGAUGAUUUACAUAAAAUUGGCUUAUUACUUUUGCAGAUGUAGAGAAAUUAAGAUGUAAGCCAAUAAUGGAUAGUAGCAACUAAUAAAAGGAAGCUAUUUCAGUUGAUUAUGUACAGUGUAAAAACAAAUAUAUUUGGUAUAUCAACUGCAGGCAAAAAAAGAAAAAA
rnacentral:lncRNA from 1 species